rnacentral:tRNA from 11 species
GCUCGGGUGGCGGAAUUGGUAUACGCGCAAGACUAAGGAUCUUGUGCCGAAAGGCUUAAGGGUUCGAGUCCCUUCCCGAGCACCA